AAAAAAAAAAAAGUACCAUAUAUAAGCUCAAUAAAAAUCAUAUUUGAUAUAUUCAAGAAUGGUUUACUUAGAAAAGAAUAAAUUUGCUUUUAAAUGUUUGAUGGGAGUGGUGCUGAUACCUUUCCAGGAGAAUCUGAGACUACUUUUACAUGUUUGCAAGAGAAAUAUAUACAUUUAAGCUAUUCAAAAAUCUAAAAUCUAAUAAUUAGAUGGUAGAUUUUUUUAUCAUCUACUAAACAUUGCUAAAGACUGCCAAAUAACACUUAAAUGUGUUUUGACUAGCAGUGGUUUUAAAAUGCAAAGUCAUUACAAGUCUCUUCCAGACAGUGUGUAACAGCAAAGAACAUAUGAUUUCUCUAACGACUCCUUUUACAAGGAAUAUCUUGAGUAGCCCAGGUAACUUACUAAUUCAGUUUCUAACCCUCUCUCCAAAAGCAAUACAAAUCAAGAAAGAGGGUUAAACAUUUGUGGGUAAUGACUAAACAAAUCAUAUUUAGCUAUUCCUUAGCUAUUCCUUUUUCCAGUUCCCACUGUCAUUGUCCUAAAUCUUUACUAUACUCCUUGCGUCCUGACUGUAUCCUCAUUUUUAACAUUGACCUUGCUUCCCAUCCCUACACCAUUUAAGCAUAUUCCUAUUUUAGAAACUGUUCCCCUCCAUUCCACAUUCCAUGUCCUCUUUGCCCUUUCUACAAUGAAACAUCUUGAAUAACCUCCAUUCGCUUCAUAUAUUUCCUGCCUCCUCUUUACUCUUCAAGCCACUCCAACCUGCAUUCCAUACCUACCACUCCAUGGAAACUGCUCUGCCUAAGAACAUCAAUGAUGUUCAUCAAUCCAAUGGAUAUGCUUUAGAUCUCAUCUAUUUAAUCCUUUCAGCAGUAUUCAAGCCAAUUUACUACUUCCACCUUGCCAUCCAUGACUGCCACAUUCUUCUAGUUUUUCUCUUACAUCUCUGGCAUCCCUUUUCACUCUCCUGUGCAAGCUUUUUUCCUCUGCCAAUCCCUUAAAUUGUGAUUGUGGUGGUUUAAAAUUUGUCCACAAAUUCUUUUCAAAAGAUAAAGCCUAAUUUCCCUCCUCAUGUCUGAAAUUCCCAUCCCCAGGAGCAUGAGUGGAAUUUAAUGGCUUGUCUCUAAUGAACAGAAUAAGGCAGAAGUGGUGGUCUCUGACUAGGUCAUAAAAGGGAUUGAGGCUUCCUCUUUGCUCUCACUUGGAUCACAGCCAGCUGCUCUGUCAUGAUGACACUUAAGCAGCUCAAUGGAGAGGCUACCUGGUGAGGAAUGAGGCCACCUUCCAACAGCCAGCAAGGAACUGCCACUUUCUGACAACAGCCAUGUGAGUCAUCGUGGAAGCUGAUCUUCCUGCUCCAGUCAAGCCUUUCAGAUGACUGCAGCACUGGCUAAUAUAUUGACUACAACUUCAUAAGAGACCCUGAGCCAGAACUCAAAGUUCUGACCCACGAAAACUAUGAGGCAUUCUUCUAGACAUUGGGGAUACAACAGAGCCUUCAUGACAGUGUCCCCUUGGAGACCCACAUCUCAGCUACCUCGGGCUUUAAACAUUUUACAAACACCCUCCUUCACAGAUGGAAGUGACCUUUCAUUCUUUACAGCCCCAUCUACACCCUGAACAAACAUGUAACAGUGUCUGGGACAACCUAUUGCAUCUACUCAUUGAGUGCCUGGUUCUCCUAUCUCUUGGGUUCUUUGAGGACUCAGUCAUAUGUGCAUCCACAAGCUUAGCACAGUGCCUCACGUAGACAACAUGGAACACAAAGCCGCAGGCAAUCUGCUUAGCAGCAGCAGGCAAUCUGAAUAAAAGGGUCAGGGAAGGCUAGGGAAGCUGGAUUGCCAGAAACCAUUUUUACUUACGCUUUGUACUUAUUUGGGUUGG
rnacentral:lncRNA from 1 species